GUAAGAAAGUCAAUAAAGUACCUCAACUAAUUUAAUUAAACUAAAGUCCUAAAUUACGAAUGUUAAUUUAAUGUUCUACUUAUCGUCAGGCCUCGAAAUAAAUCUGAACGUUAUAUCGGUCAUUAUGACCGGUGGAUCACUAAAUUUACUGGUCACAGCGGAAUUUAUGCCGGUCAUUGUCACUCCUUAGAUUCUUUUUCCCCUCAUCUUUUGCGUGACUCGUAACUUUAGAAACAAUUGUGUAUUUUAAUUGUAUUUGUAUACAAAGUGGAAGUAUG